AACGAACGCUGGCGGCAGGCCUAACACAUGCAAGUCGAGCGAGACCUCCGGGUCUAGCGGCGGACGGGUGAGUAACGCGUGGGAACGUGCCCUUUGGUUCGGAAUAGCCCCGGGAAACUGGGAGUAAUACCGGAUAAGCCCUACGGGGGAAAGAUUUAUCGCCAAAGGAUCGGCCCGCGUUGGAUUAGGUAGUUGGUGGGGUAAUGGCCUACCAAGCCGACGAUCCAUAGCUGGUUUGAGAGGAUGAUCAGCCACACUGGGACUGAGACACGGCCCAGACUCCUACGGGAGGCAGCAGUGGGGAAUCUUAGACAAUGGGGGAAACCCUGAUCUAGCCAUGCCGCGUGAGCGAUGAAGGCCUUAGGGUUGUAAAGCUCUUUCAGUGGGGAAGAUAAUGACUGUACCCACAGAAGAAGCCCCGGCUAACUCCGUGCCAGCCGCCGCCGUAAGAC
rnacentral:rRNA from 1 species